rnacentral:rRNA from 1 species
GAUGAACGCUGGCGGCGUGCCUAACACAUGCAAGUCGAGCGAGAUCUUCUGGAACGAAACUUCGGUCUAGCGAAGGAAGUGGAAGCGGCGGACGGGUGAGUAACGCGUAGGCAACCUGCCCCAUACAGAGGGAUAGCCUCGGGAAACCGGGAUUAAAACCUCAUAACGCGAUCUGGUCACAUGGCUGGAUCGCCAAAGAUUUAUCGGUAUGGGAUGGGCCUGCGUCUGAUUAGCUAGUUGGUGAGGUAACGGCUCACCAAGGCGACGAUCAGUAGCCGACCUGAGAGGGUAAUCGGCCACAUUGGAACUGAGACACGGUCCAAACUCCUACGGGAGGCAGCAGUGGGGAAUCUUGCGCAAUGGGCGAAAGCCUGACGCAGCAACGCCGCGUGCGGGAUGAAGGCCUUCGUGGUUGUAAACCGCUUUCAGCAGGGACGAAAAUGACGGUACCUGCAGAAGAAGCCCCGGCUAACUACGUGCCAGCCGCCGCAGUAAGAC